UGGAGCAGUUCAAACGAUCGCCGGUUCAUUCCUGUGAUCCGGAGGAAAGUCCGAACACCGUAGGGCAGGGUGCUCCAUAACGUGGAGUCGCGGCAACGCGAAGGAAAGUGCAACAGAAAGUAUACCGCCCUGUAGAUAUUUACAGGGUAAGGGUGAAACGGUGCGGUAAGAGCGCACCAGUUCCCCGGGUGACCGGGGAAGCUAUGUAAACCCCACUCGGUGCAAGACCAAAUAGGGGAGCGUUUGAGGACGGCUCGUCCGAGUUCCCGGGUAGGUCGCAAGAGGUGCCUGGCAACCGGCAUCCAUAGAUGAAUGAUCGUUACCUGUUCCAGGGUAACCUGAACAGGGGACAGAAUUCGGCUUAUAGGCUGCUCCAGCCG
rnacentral:RNase_P_RNA from 1 species